UUUUGGACAAUGAGCGCAAGCCUGAUCCAGCCAUGCCGCUUGAGUGUAGAAGGUGUUCGGGUUGGAAAGCUCUUUCGCAUGGAAAGAAAUCGCACAGGCUAAUACCCUGAGCGGAUGCCGGUACUGUCUUAAUAAGCUCCGCCUAACUACGUGUGAGCAGCCGCGGUAAUAUGUAGGGUGCGAGCGUUAAGCGGAAUUACUGGGCGUAAAGCGUGAGCAGGCGGUUGAUUAAGACAAGCGUGAAAUCCCCGGGCUUAACCUGGGAACUGCGCUUGAGAAUGGUAAGCUAGAGUAAGCCAGAGGGGGAUGGAAUUCCACGUGUAACAGUGAAAUGCGUAAAGAUGUGGAGGAACACCGAUGGCGAAGGCAGACCCCUGGGACGAUACUGACGCUCAUGCACGAAAGCGUGGGUAGCAAACAGG
rnacentral:rRNA from 1 species